UAAAUAAUUAAUAUUAUUUUAUUACUCAUUUCAAUUAAUCUGUAAACAAAUCUCUCAUCACUCAGCCCUCUCUCACUCACUUUCCAAUUCUAAAAACCCUAAUCGCAGCAUCAAAACAUUAAACAAACCAACUCUGUUAUGAAGAGACGCUGCUACAGUGGGUAAGGCUGAACAGAGGAAACAAGCUAGGAUGGUUGUGGCGGGAUUAGCAGCGCUGGAGUUGUGGCGGAGGAUUGCUCAUCAGACGCUUGAGGAGUUGCCAUUGACAUGAGUCGAUAGUUUUGAAUAUACUGAUAUGCCUCUCUUCUUUGUAUUAAAUAAAACUUGUUCAAUAUAAAAUGGUGUGAACGGGGGAGUAUAUAUAGCAUUUCUUAUAGAAUUCUCGCAACUCUUCUAAUUUUGGCCUCCAAAAUCAACUUUCGAGUCGUUGGAGGCUAGGUCCAUCGUAAGGUCUUUCUUUCUUCUCUGUUUUCUAACACAAUGAUUAUUUUGAUACAGCUGUGUCCUUGUAAUUGAAUUUUCAGUUUUUAGGCAAAAAAUAUUAUGACAUUGAUAUUUGGCUUUGGACGCAUCAUGUUGGGGAGUGACUUUGUAUUAAGGUGUUGUGGUGUAGUUCUUGUAAGUUGAAGAAGAUGCGGAAGGAAUUUCCAUCAUUCUAAGGUGAUUUUACUAUUGGAUAUGCUUCUUUCUAAUUUGAGAGUUUUAUUCGGGUUUAUGAAGAUUUAAGGAGUCAACCUGCAUUCAUUAAUCAUGUUGUAACAACUAAUCUACAGUUGGGAGCUCCUGCGUAUGUUGUACCUCCUUCAGGAAGCCUUGAUGAAGCUUUGAUGGUUAGUGACAACUAACAAGUUUUUAUAAUCCAUGAAAUUAUAUCUUAAAGGGGUUAAAAAUUUGAGACUAGAAAUCUUUUACUAAAGAUGAAUGUCUUACUUAUAUGUCUCUAUAUAUUCUUAAAAAUAUUGUCUCUUCUUUUAAGUGUUUGAGUAUGCGCAAUAAUGUUCCAUCUAGAUCUUAUUUGAGGUAUGUAAUAUAUUUUGACAUUAUUUUUCUAAGAAAAUUUCAGACUUUUCAUAUUUUAUGCA